GGAAGGGUUGGUAAUGGGACUGGUGGAUAGGGGAAGGAUUGGUAAUGGGACUGGUGGAUAGCGGAAGGGUUGGUAAUGGGACAGGUGAAUAGGGGAAGGGUUGGUAAUGGGACUGGUGGAUAGGGGAAGAAUUGGUAAUGGGACUGGUGGAUAGGGGAAGGGUUGGUAAUGGGACUGGUGGAUAGGGGAAGGAUUGGUAAUGGGACUGGUGGAUAGGGGAAGGAUUGGUAAUGGGACUGGUGGAUAGGGGAAGGGCUGGUAAUGGGACUGGUGGAUAGGGGAAGGGUUGGUAAUGGGACUGGUGGAUAGGGGAAGCAUUGGUAAUGGGACUGGUGGAUAGGGUAAGGGUUGGUAAUGGGACUGGUGGAUAGGGGAAGGGUUGGUAAUGGGACUGGUGGAUAGGGGAAGGAUUGGUAAUGGGACUGGUAGAUAGGGGAAGGGUUGGUAAUGGGACUGGUGGAUAGGGGAAGGGUUGGUAAUGGGACUGGUGGAUAGGGGAAGGGUUGGUAAUGGGACUGGUGGAUAGGGGACGGAUUGGUAAUGGGACUGGUGGAUAGGGGAAGGGUUGGUAAUGGGACUGGUGGAUAGGGGAAGGGUUGGUAAUGGGACUGGUGGAUAGGGGAAGGAUUGGUAAUGGGACUGGUGGAUAGGGGAAGGGUUGGUAAUGGGACUGGUGGAUAGGGGAAGGGUUGGUAAUGGGACUGGUGGAUAGGGGAAGGAUUGGUAAUGGGACUGGUGGAUAGGGGAAGGGUUGGUAAUGGGACUGGUGGAUAGGGGAAGGGUUGGUAAUGGGACUGGUGGAUAGCGGAAGGAUUGGUAAUGGGACUGGUUGAUAGGGGAAGGGUUGGUAAUGGGACUGGUGGAUAGGGGAAGGGUUGGUAAUGGGACAGGUGGAUAGGGGAAUGGUUGGUAAUGGGACUGGUGGAUAGCGGAAGGAUUGGUAAUGGGACUGGUGGAUAGGGGAAGGGUUGGUAAUAGGACUGGUGGAUAGGGGAAG